rnacentral:tRNA from 1 species
GCAUCCGCAGCUUAAAGCGGUCAAGCGCCUGACUUGUAAUCGAAAGAUUGUUGGUUCAAUCCCAACCGGGCGCUA